UAGUUUUGUGUUUUCUAGUGUGUAAAAGUCUAAGGAAUUUUCUAUGACUUUUACGCCUGAAUGUUUAUCAUUCACAGGGCAGUAAUUGAAAAGUUAUUGUCUCCACGUAUUUUGGGAAGGAAAAUAAGUAGAUUUAAU
rnacentral:ncRNA from 1 species